UGCAAGUCGAGCGGAGACCAGUGGGUAGCAAUAUUCCCUGGUUUUAGCGGCGCAAGGGUGCGUAACACGUGGGCAAUCUGCCUUGAAGACCGGGAUAACUUCGGGAAACCGUUGCUAAUACCGGAUGUGGAAGACGGGGGGAAUCCCCCGAAUUCUGAAGCUGGGGACUGUAACAGGCCUGGCGCUUCAAGAUGAGCCCGCGGCCUAUCAGCUUGUUGGCGGGGUAACGGCCCACCAAGGCCAAGACGGGUAGCUGGUCUGAGAGGAUGACCAGCCACACUGGAACUGAGACACGGUCCAGACACCUGCGGGUGGCAGCAGUCGAGAAUCUUUCACAAUGGGCGCAAGCCUGAUGGAGCGACGCCGCGUGGGGGAUGAAGGGCUUCGGCCCGUAAACCCCUGUCAUGGGCGAGCAAGGCCGGCGGGUUAACAGCCUGCCGGAUUGAUAGUAGCCCAAGAGGAAGGGACGGCUAACUCUGUGCCGGCAGCCGCGGUAAUACAGAGGUCCCAAGCGUUGUUCGGAUUCACUGGGCGUAAAGGGUGCGUAGGCGGUGGGGUAAGUUCGUUGUGAAAUCUCCGGGCUCAACCCGGAAACGGCAACGAAUACUAUCCCGCUGGAGGGUUGGAAGGGGGACUGGAAUUCUCGGUGUAGCAGUGAAAUGCGUGGAUAUCGAGAGGAACACCAGUGGCGAAGCGAGUCCCUGGACAACUCCUGACGCUCAGGCACGAAAGCUAGGGGAGCAAACAAGAUUAGAUACCCUGGUAGUCCUAGCCCUAACGGUGCACGUUUGCUGUGGGCGGAUUCGACCCCGUCCGUGGCCGAAGCUAACGCGUUAAACGUUGCCGCCUGGGGGAGUACGGUC
rnacentral:rRNA from 1 species